UACGUAGGGAGCAAGCGUUGUCCGGAAUCAUUGGGCGUAAAGCGCGCGUAGGUGGCUUCGUAAGUCCGUUGUGAAAGUCAAAGGCUCAACCUUUGAAAGCCGAUGGAUACUGCGGAGCUAGAGUACGGAAGAGGCGAGUGGAAUUCCUGGUGGUAGCGGUGGAAUGCGCAGAUAUCAGGAGGAACACCAAUAGCGAAGGCAGCUCGCUGGGACGUACUGACACUGAGGCGCGAAAGCGUGGGGAGCGAACAGG
rnacentral:rRNA from 1 species